rnacentral:rRNA from 1 species
UUGAACGCUGGCGGCAUGCCUUACACAUGCAAGUCGAACGGUAGAGUAGCAAUACUCGAGAGUGGCGAACGGGUGAGUAAUAUAUCGGAACGUGCCCAGUCGUGGGGGAUAACGUAGAGAAAUUUACGCUAAUACCGCAUACGAUCUAAGGAUGAAAGCGGGGGACUCGCAAGGGCCUCGCGCGAUUGGAGCGGCUGAUAUCAGAUUAGGUUGUUGGUGAGGUAAAAGCUCACCAAGCCGACGAUCUGUAGCUGGUUUGAGAGAACGACCAGCCACACUGGGACUGAGACACGGCCCAGACUCCUACGGGAGGCAGCAGUGGGGAAUUUUGGACAAUGGGCGAAAGCCUGAUCCAGCAAUGCCGCGUGCAGGAAGAAGGCCUUCGGGUUGUAAAGCUCUUUCGGCGGGGAAGAAAUCGCAUUCUCUAAUACAGGAUGUGGAUGACGGUACCCGAAUAAGAAGCACCGGCUAACUACGU